rnacentral:lncRNA from 1 species
GGUGUUUUUGCAGUUCAUUCACACUCUGUGUCUGCUUUGGUUUCAGACCCACAUGGCUCCCCGACAGAAGACAAUGACAUGAUAGGAGUGGUGACACAAGGCUCUUACUGUUACAUUCAAUAAUUGAUUCUCCUGGAUGGAUUGUGACUCCCUAAAGGUUGCAAAGAGAGAAAGAGUUGAAUUUGCUACUUACCAAGAGAAGAAAAACAACACAAGAGUUUGGUGAAUGGGCAUGCUUUGGAUUCACACUGGAUCCUGGAAACAGAAUUGUCCCCUGUGGAUGUAGAAGUAUCAUGGUAACUCUCCUCAGGAACUCCAUAAUGAAGGAGGUUAUCAUCCAGGAGUUAUACCCUGCUUGUUUUUAAACCUGCAAAGGGAAGAUACUGUGAACAAAGCAGUGAUGGCUCUCAGGUUCCUCGCCAGGCACCAGGAGAGGAGUGGGGCUGUUUUGGAUCACCUGAGCACAGGGCUGGAUGCAAGUGGGUGCUCAACAUCUGAAAGGGAUGGCGAAAUAAAUUACACAGAUCCCUGUGCAAGUCUGAUCAAGCUCUGAAAGGUGAGGUAAACGAUCUUCACUGAGGAAACAGAGAUUUGCCCUGCAUAGUGAAUUGCCACAGAAAGGCUCCUGCAGCAGCCAGAGACUGAUGGCACAUUCUGCCCUGUCCUCCAGGAUGAUCUGACAGAGGUAUUUGUGUUCCAGUAUGAUUUGACAGAGAUAUUUGUGUGAACAGGUGGGGAAUAAUCCUGCACCAGGAGCUGUCUCAGGGACUGAAGUAUCUCAGAGUAGCUCUGCCCUGGGUCUCUGCUGGGAAAGCAAGGUUGGGCAGCUGAACAAUCUGGACUCACA